rnacentral:tRNA from 1 species
GCGGACGUAGCUCAGUGGGAGAGCAGUGGUCUUCCAAACCGCGUGUCGUGGGUUCGAAUCCCAUCGUCCGCUCCA